GAGGGGAUACCCUGAGACUGAGGGGUUACUGCCAGGGAGCUGCACCCCAGAUAAUGGGGUACCAGGUCUGGGAGGGACAUGGGGGCCAAGCAGCAGUGGGACACCAGCCAGCAGAGGGCACUCCAAGGCUGGAAAUGAGCUAAUGCCUGGAGAUGACCAGAAGGAGGUGCUGCAGGGACCACCUGCAAGACUCCUAAGGCUUACAACCAUUUAAAGCCUUACUCAAGAAAUUCUGCUGUGAAAAGCAAACAGGAACAGGAUGCCAGAACUGGGAAAAGAGAGACCAAGAAGCCCUGAUGCUAGAGUUGAGGAUGAAAUUCGGACAAAAAUGCAAGCAAAUCUAUCCCCCUUCAAUCAAAGGGAGCUGAUAUUACCUCUGGAUAUAGUACUGGCAAGACCAUAACUAGAAUACUUUGUCCAGCUUGGGGGUUAAAACAUCAAAAAUGAAGUUGAAAAAUUAUAAAGGUUUGAGAAAAGAAUUACAAAAAUGAAUUGAGGUGUGGAAAGACUGCCUUACAAUGACAGGCUUAUAGAGUUUGGUUUUUCUUACCAAAGAGAAGGUUAAGUACAAAGAAACAGAAACUGGAAUUUCCGCCCUUUAAUUUCAUCCUAAAUCAAGCUAAAAAAUGGAAAUAUGUUUUUUUUCCAUAACAUGGACAGUUCCAAAUAAAAAACACAUUUGGAAAUGGUGAAA